UUCGCCACAGCAAGCUAGCCAAAACAUUUACUACUACCGGCACCGCGCGCUGACAGCAUUCAACAACAGUCUGAAGAUACCUCCCAAUAAUCAGUAUUGACAAGACCUUCCUUUUGUCGAGAAAGGUCACAUUCCAAGAUUCAUCGACGAACAAUCACAACCAAACCAUUGUAUAAUUAAAGCAAGUAGCAAGAGUGCAAUUGGUUUUAUUAAUGAAACAAUAAGGCCACAGUGUCUCGCGUAGACAUACUUUUUUUUUUGGCGACCGUGACAGGACACGCGUUCCGCCUCAUUCGACGUGCCAAGUCAUCAGUAAGAUAACGGCGUCGCAUUAGCAAUCUCCGCCAAAAGGAAAAGGGAACGCAGUACUGGACAAUCGCUGGAUCCGGCAGCGAAGCAGCAGCAGUAAGACUUCGCCACGACCGUGUUGUCGUUCAUCAAAUAUAAGACAUACUUUUAUUUGGCGACCGUGACAGGACACGCGUUCCGCCUCAUUCGACGUGCCAAGUCAUCAUUAAGAUAACGGCGUCGCAUCAGCAAUCUAAAAGGAAGGAAAAGGGAACGCAGUAUUGGACGAUCGCUGGAUCCGGCAGCGAAGCAGCAGCAGUAAGACUUCGCCACGACCGCGUUGUCGUUCAUCAAACAAGAUAAGUGCCUUUCCUUCAACAUUCCCAAUCCCUUAAUAUCAAAUCCAUAAUUAUUGCCUUCACAGUGUAUCAGAAGUUUCGUACAUUUGUGCAAAGGAUAAAUAACAUAAUUUUACGUAAAUCAUCCACGUGUUCAACCAAAGAUACAAGUGCAUUGUUAUGCAAUCUUGCUACCAUUGCUUUAAAAUACAAUAAAACAAUCAAACCUUCAUUUCAAAACGUUUUUUCGGUUAAGAAGCUGCCUAUCCACGCAUUUCGUAAAAAUUCUAUACAAUUUUACGCGUCAUUCUGCGAUCUACCUACACAUUAUAAUUAUUCAAUCAUUGUUUAAUCUUAAAUCAUUAGAAUUCAUUGUUUUAAAAUAUAUUAAUAUACAGUAAAAGUCAUAAAAUUCAUUAAACAAGUUUAACAUUAGCCAAUUCAAUUGUCACUGUUUACGAAACAGCACGUUAGUAAUUAUAUAUUAUUUCUUUCCGCUCAUUCGUUCGGCCGACGUUUCCAGGCUCGCCCCGCGAUCGAUCGCGCCGCUUCCGAACGUACAGCACUACAUGUAAUAAGCCGUGCUUCGAGACCUCGAAGACUGCCAUCGAAGGGAGGAGAGUGAGUCGGUACCCGAAUGAAACAACCGUUGCAGCUAAGACACUUCCUCAUUGGACGACCACUAACAUCGUUUCCAUCCCCUGAUGUUCAAAAUUUGAACUCAAACAAGCUGCAACGCUAUCAAAGUCUUGAACAAAUGCGACAACAUUUCUCGACAAGGUGGCAAAGAGAAUAUAUCUCCGAAUUACAACAACGGCAAAGAUGGACCCAAGAAACUGCAAAUGUCAAAAUUGGUGAUCUUGUUUAAUAAAAGACGAUAAAACGCCACCAUUAUGCUGGCGCCUUGGAAGGGUUUCGCAGACAUUCCCAGGACCUGAUGGCAUAACCAGAGUGGCGGAAAUUCGUACUGCGACGGGGAGCAUACGGCGGUCACUCAUUCGUCUAUGUCCUCUAUUCAAUGGCCAAGAAACCUAGGAGUGUUGAAAGAAGACUCUUUCAACGGGGGGGAGUAUGUCGCGGCGCCUGACGCGUUCGCCACAGCAAGCUAGCCAAAACAUUUACUACUACCGGCACCGCGCGCUGACAGCAUUCAACAACAGUCUGAAGAUACCUCCCAAUAAUCAGUAUUGACAAGACCUUCCUUUUGUCGAGAAAGGUCACAUUCCAAGAUUCAUCGACGAACAAUCACAACCAAACCAUUGUAUAAUUAAAGCAAGUAGCAAGAGUGCAAUUGGUUUUAUUAAUGAAACAAUAAGGCCACAGUGUCUCGCGUAGACAUACUUUUUUUUUUGGCGACCGUGACAGGACACGCGUUCCGCCUCAUUCGACGUGCCAAGUCAUCAGUAAGAUAACGGCGUCGCAUUAGCAAUCUCCGCCAAAAGGAAAAGGGAACGCAGUACUGGACAAUCGCUGGAUCCGGCAGCGAAGCAGCAGCAGUAAGACUUCGCCACGACCGUGUUGUCGUUCAUCAAAUAUAAGACAUACUUUUAUUUGGCGACCGUGACAGGACACGCGUUCCGCCUCAUUCGACGUGCCAAGUCAUCAUUAAGAUAACGGCGUCGCAUCAGCAAUCUAAAAGGAAGGAAAAGGGAACGCAGUAUUGGACGAUCGCUGGAUCCGGCAGCGAAGCAGCAGCAGUAAGACUUCGCCACGACCGCGUUGUCGUUCAUCAAACAAGAUAAGUGCCUUUCCUUCAACAUUCCCAAUCCCUUAAUAUCAAAUCCAUAAUUAUUGCCUUCACAGUGUAUCAGAAGUUUCGUACAUUUGUGCAAAGGAUAAAUAACAUAAUUUUACGUAAAUCAUCCACGUGUUCAACCAAAGAUACAAGUGCAUUGUUAUGCAAUCUUGCUACCAUUGCUUUAAAAUACAAUAAAACAAUCAAACCUUCAUUUCAAAACGUUUUUUCGGUUAAGAAGCUGCCUAUCCACGCAUUUCGUAAAAAUUCUAUACAAUUUUACGCGUCAUUCUGCGAUCUACCUACACAUUAUAAUUAUUCAAUCAUUGUUUAAUCUUAAAUCAUUAGAAUUCAUUGUUUUAAAAUAUAUUAAUAUACAGUAAAAGUCAUAAAAUUCAUUAAACAAGUUUAACAUUAGCCAAUUCAAUUGUCACUGUUUACGAAACAGCACGUUAGUAAUUAUAUAUUAUUUCUUUCCGCUCAUUCGUUCGGCCGACGUUUCCAGGCUCGCCCCGCGAUCGAUCGCGCCGCUUCCGAACGUACAGCACUACAUGUAAUAAGCCGUGCUUCGAGACCUCGAAGACUGCCAUCGAAGGGAGGAGAGUGAGUCGGUACCCGAAUGAAACAACCGUUGCAGCUAAGUCAGAACGAGUGUUUUUUCAUUAUUUAAAAAAUAAUUUUCUAACUUUUCCAUUCUUUAAAACAAGUAACGAUAUUCUAAGAACUCAAGUUAAUUAAAUUUAAAAAUACAACAAUGGCUACUGGGUCUGAUAAAUCCAUGAGUAAAUACAAAGAACUGAUUCUAAGGCGUAGUUCUAUUAAAGGUCAAAUAACAAAGUUUAAAAAUUAUUUAGCUUUAUUUGAAUCAUCACCGUUAUCCAGUAUUGAGGUAGCUGAGCUAUCAGUAAGAUUAAACAGAUUUGAAAAUUUAUCCACAAAAUUUGAUAGCCUUCAAUCAGAUAUUGAAGUGCUCAAUCACGAUAGUCUAGAGAGGGAAAUCGAUGAGAGGGAUUGUAUUGAGCGCGACAUCAUUUCAUGCAUUGCUACGGCAAACAGUUUGAUAUCAGAAACAAACAUUCAAUUAGAGGCGUGCCGAAAGUCCGUCGCGCCACCGGAGCCUCAAUACCACCAUGAUGACCCUGGUGUCAAGCUGCCACUUCAACUUGAUACAAUCAAAACUGAUGCUAAAAAUAUAGUUGUAAUAGACAAUAAUUCAUCAAAUAUAGUAGUUGAAGCCUGCAAGGCAAAUAUAAAUUCAAUCGAUAAUUUAUACAAAAUUAUAAUACUUUAUCCUGUUUGGUGCUUAAUGAACUAACAGGGGAGCUCCCAAAGGCUCCGAUAAAUAUGCAAAAUAUCAAAUUACCUAAUCAUAUACAACUAGCUGAUCCUAGUUUCAAUUUGCCUAAACGAAUAGACAUCAUUCUUGGAGUAAACAUAAAAUGGGAUAUUGUGGGUACUCAACAAGUCAUUGGGAUUAAACGCUCCAAGCUUGAUCAGCUCUAAACUUGGCUGGCUGGUAGCCGGAUCUAUUCAUGUUAUUUCUUCAAAGUACGUUGAACGUAACCAGUCUGCUCUUUUUGCUUCUUGCAAGCAAGAGAGCUCACGACGAGUAUAGUAACGGUUUCAGAAUCGAUUAUAAUCAAUAUUAAUUACUACUCUAAACUAUCAAUGUUGCAAAGAUCAUUCGCCUACGUAAGGCGAUUCAUUUUCAAUUUAAAAAAUCCUUUAAACAAACGCACUACAAAUUGCUACCACAUACAUUACAAUACAUUACAAUACAAAUUGCUAACACAACACAAGCUACUAAACACUAAAUUUAAAAUUUUGUCACUUGCGCGUCGGUUUAUAUCGCGUCGCGGCAAGCCGGCGGAAAUAUUCUCCGACAAUGAUGGUCGAAAUUUCGUGGGGACAGCUAACGAACUACACAUACUUAAGAACUAACAAUGCGUCUCUUUCUGACUUUGCUGCUCAAGAAGGAAUCAAAUUUCAUUUCGUUCCCACUUACUCUCCUCACUUCGGUGGUCUUUGGGAAUCGGGUAUAAAAUCCGCUAAACACCACAUCAAGCGUGGGAUAGGCAAUGGUCAUCUAACCUUUGAGGAACUACAAACUUUAUUUGCACAAGUGGAGGCAAUACUCAACAGCCGUCCCUUGGGUCCUUUAUCCUCCAGUCCUAACGACCUUUUACCUUUGUCCCCAGGACACUUCCUCAUUGGACGACCACUAACAUCGUUUCCAUCCCCUGAUGUUCAAAAUUUGAACUCAAACAAGCUGCAACGCUAUCAAAGUCUUGAACAAAUGCGACAACAUUUCUCGACAAGGUGGCAAAGAGAAUAUAUCUCCGAAUUACAACAACGGCAAAGAUGGACCCAAGAAACUGCAAAUGUCAAAAUUGGUGAUCUUGUUUAAUAAAAGACGAUAAAACGCCACCAUUAUGCUGGCGCCUUGGAAGGGUUUCGCAGACAUUCCCAGGACCUGAUGGCAUAACCAGAGUGGCGGAAAUUCGUACUGCGACGGGGAGCAUACGGCGGUCACUCAUUCGUCUAUGUCCUCUAUUCAAUGGCCAAGAAACCUAGGAGUGUUGAAAGAAGACUCUUUCAACGGGGGGGAGUAUGUCGCGGCGCCUGACGCGUUCGCCACAGCAAGCUAGCCAAAACAUUUACUACUACCGGCACCGCGCGCUGACAGCAUUCAACAACAGUCUGAAGAUACCUCCCAAUAAUCAGUAUUGACAAGACCUUCCUUUUGUCGAGAAAGGUCACAUUCCAAGAUUCAUCGACGAACAAUCACAACCAAACCAUUGUAUAAUUAAAGCAAGUAGCAAGAGUGCAAUUGGUUUUAUUAAUGAAACAAUAAGGCCACAGUGUCUCGCGUAGACAACUUAUAAUAUGAUUUAUCUAUAUGUAAGGAAGUUUACCUGUUAUUAUGGCAUUGACUAGCAUCCCUGAGCAAGGGGAGCUAUAAGCCAUCGUGGGCGCUAUAAGCUCGUCAGCUUUCUUUAAAAACGAGAAAGUCAAACAGAUUGCAGCAUUUCGACUAUAGACAAGAAAUAUUAAUUAAGAAACAGCCGGCUCCGACUCGUAAAAACUUCAUAUAAAACUAAAUAAAGAUCUUGUGAUUAUUAUUUAAAAAUAGUACUAGUAACCAUCACAGUUGCAGUGUAACGCAUUCGUUUUUUUUUUGUUCUUUAAGUCUAGCGACUACAUCGGCUUCUAGAUAUUAAGAUCUUAAUAUUUAAUUUGUCUAUUAUAAAAUUAGUCUACAAAUUUAUUUGAAUCUAUUGCCAGAGUUGGUAUUUAAUAGAAUUUUAAUAGAACUAGUCGUCCCCCCCUAGUCGGAAUUCGACUAUAAUUAAUUGAAAUUAUAUGUACACUAUUAUGGUUCUAUUGUCAAAGACUAUUAAACUUCUUUAAUAUAAUCACAGAUUUCGCCAAGACUACACUUUAGACAAAUAUUAAUAAAGACAAACAAUAUUAAUUUAAUCUAUUCUCAAUUUGACCAUAGCAAUAUGAAAAGUUUGACAAUAAACAAAUAUAUAGUAUGUAUGCGUGUGUGUGUGUGAAAUACACGGUAGCCUGUGUAAUGCUUUUAUUUAUUGAUUUAAUGUAUUUCUUGUGCAUAAUUAAAAAAAAUAUUAACAUCCUGCACUCCUCUAUAGUCUCUGUAAGUGUAGAAAAUUUCAUACUCCUCCGUUCGCGCGAUUUUCGUAAAAAGGGAUACAAAGUUUUUGCUUCACGUAUUAAUAUAUAGAUUGAAUCGUAAAGAGUUUCCAUAUGAGGUGAAAAGAAACAAUUCACAAACGAAAUGUGAAAUGAGAGAAAAGUUGUGUAUGAAAAUAUUUUGAUGUUCUUUUUGUUUUUUUGGAUGCAGGUGGGCCUGGGUGCUCAGGUGGGUGUCAAGAGGUCAGGGCAAGGCGCCCCCUCGAUAGACCUUGAUGGUCUUUGCAAACGGCCGCCGUUACAUAAGUGCUUUGUUCGAGUGAGGCCAUAACAAAGGGCUUGCAAAUUUAAGCGUCCUUUAGAUUGGUUUCGUGUGGAUAUAACAAUAUCGUUACAAAUAAUAGGUUGGAAAUGGUGUUUAUUAUUAUAGCGUUUUUUGUUAAAAAAAAUCGCACAUUUUAAAUGAAUGCUGUUGUGUCAGAACGGAAAUGAGUAUUAUAGGCGUUGUUGAUAACUGAUAAAAAUGCUAAAGCGACGUACAUUUUUGAAAUAUCUUAUACUGGUCUGACUGGUCUGGUCUGGUCUUGUACUGGUCUUGGAAUCUUGUACUGGUGGUAGGAACUCUUGUGAGUCCGCACGGGUAGGUACCACCACCCUGGAUAUUUCUGCCGUGAAGCAGUAAUGCGUUUCGGUUUGAAGGGUGGGGCAGCCGUCGUAACUGUACUGAGACCUUAGAACUUAUAUCUCAAGGUGGGUGGUGCAUUUACGUUGUAGAUGUCCAUGGGCUCCGCUAACCACUUAACACCACCCAUCUAAGCAAAAAAAAUAAUGUCAUUUUUGAUCUUAUUUUAUUUUUAUAAACGUUAAAUAUGUUACAAUUUAAUAUAAGCCAGUAUACAAUUAAAAUAACGCAGUUAGUUACACAGCGCCAUCUAUCGUCUAGUAGCUCAAGUUUUUAGCAGCGCCAUCUAUGAAUCACUUGUUGUGACAAAAACUUAAGUUUACGGAAAAUUGGCGUUGAUGUCGAAACAAAAUUUUCAGAACGUUUAAUGUUUGUGACUGAUAUUGAACUUCUGUAAACGCGUUUAUGCGAGUACAAUAUUUUUUUUAUUACAAAACCUUUGGUACCUACAUACGUAUUUACUGGUGGUAUCUUAGAACUUAUAUCUCAAGGUGGGUGGCGCAUUUACGUUGUAGAUGUCCAUGGGCUCCAGGAACCAUUUAACACCAGAUGGGCUGUGCGCUCGUCCGCCCACCUAAGCAAUAAAAAAAAAAGUAAAUAUUUUUGAUAUUUAGGCAUACGAGGAUACAGCCCCCCUGAUGGCCAGUAGUCACCGUGGCUUAUGGACAUCGGCAAUGUCAGAGCCAUAGUCAAGUCACCACUUACGGUAAAAUACGAUUAGAACUAUUGUUUAUUACGGGAGCUCUGUUAUAGAAGAUUAAUAAUUAAUCACGUAGAUUCUACUUAUAAGGCAUAUUGUAACAAUUCACCUUUAACCAUUGCCAAAGUACAAAGUUAAUAACUCCUAAAGCCAUCUCGUGCCACAGCAAAAGCUGUGCGCGAUUAAACAGGGUAACCAUACUACCCGUUCUUUUUUCAAAUAAAUUGCCGAACAAAA